rnacentral:rRNA from 1 species
GACGAACGCUGGCGGCGCGCUUAACACAUGCAAGUCGAGCGAGAACCAGGGCUUCGGCCCUGGGGACAGCGGCGAACGGGUGAGUAACACGUGGGUAAUCUGCCCUCGGCACCGGAAUAGCCCGGGGAAACCCGGAUUAAUGCCGGAUGGCCCCUUCAUCUCGCGAGGUGUCGGGAAAAGGUAGCUUCGGCCUCUGGCCGAGGAUGAGCCCGCGGCGGAUUAGCUUGUUGGCGGGGUAACGGCCCACCAAGGCGACGAUCCGUAGCUGGUCUGAGAGACCGAUCAGCCACACUGGGACUGAGACACGGCCCAGACUCCUACGGGGGGCAGCAGUGGGGAAUCCUGCGCAAUGGGCGAAAGCCUGACGCAGCGACGCCGCGUGAGGGAAGAAGGCCUUCGGGUUGUAAACCUCUUUCAGGAGGGACGAAGCUACUCGGGUGAAUAGCCCAGAGGGUGACGGUACCUCCAGAAGAAGCCCCGGCUAACUACGUGCCAGCAGCCGCCGUAAUAC